rnacentral:lncRNA from 1 species
CCCAUAGAAAAUUGGAUAUUCUGGUUAGACCCCACCCAGAAACUAGCUGGUUCCAUCUGGGUGACAUUCCCAUGAACCACCGCUAUCUUAUUGCAAAACUAUCCGUUAUUACAUAAACACUCCACCCCAAUUUUUUUAUCAUCCUAGCCGUUACAUAUCCAGGGCGGGUUCGGAUUGUAUCUUUCGCGAAAACGCACGAUCGAUCUUCUUUCGUCACAUCAACCGUUGGA